rnacentral:tRNA from 1 species
GGGGUUGUAGCUCAGUGGUAGAGUGCUUACCUAGCAUGAAUGAGACACAGGGUUCAAUCCUUAGCACCA